rnacentral:rRNA from 1 species
AUUAAACGCUGGCGGCAUGCCUUACACAUGCAAGUCGAACGGCAGCACGGGGGCAACCCUGGUGGCGAGUGGCGAACGGGUGAGUAAAGCAUCGGAACGUGCCCUGGAGUGGGGGAUAACGUAGCGAAAGUUACGCUAAUACCGCAUAUUCUGUGAGCAGGAAAGCAGGGGAUCGCAAGACCUUGCGCUCUGGGAGCGGCCGAUGUCGGAUUAGCUAGUUGGUGGGGUAAAGGCCUACCAAGGCGACGAUCCGUAGCGGGUCUGAGAGGAUGAUCCGCCACACUGGGACUGAGACACGGCCCAGACUCCUACGGGAGGCAGCAGUGGGGAAUUUUGGACAAUGGGCGGAAGCCUGAUCCAGCCAUGCCGCGUGAGUGAAGAAGGCCUCGG